ensembl:lncRNA
UUUUUUUAUAAGAAAAUGAUUGCAUUAGCUCAGUUAACUACUUUAAAUAAAAGCACAAAUCUAAUUUUUGUGAGAGCAGCUGCAAAGUCUGUCAUGUUACAUCCCAACCUGUUGUGGCGUAUCUUCCACGAUCGCAUUCUGCUGUGUUCUGUUGCAGUGUUUCGCGAUAUGAACAGGAUACCAGCUCCCUUGGGGCCGUUGUUCAGCACUAAAAAUAAUAGAUGCUUAUCUGGCCUGCGACUCACGCCAACCCGGCCACAACCAGGAAGAACAAUCAAGACAAAUGCCUGGCAUGCCAUUCAGCUGUAAAAAACUGGGCAGAGUAGUCGCCAAGUUUCAAUCGGAUCAUCUUCAAAUUUGGUGAAGGUUAAAUUGCGAAGAUCCUGAGUUUUUGUCAAAGGGCGUGUCCCUGGCAGCCUGACAAAUUUUGUUGUUUCGCCAUGAAACAGGAAGUUGCUGUAACUCAGGUUGUCAAUGUGAACCGCAGCAGUAAGUGUCGGAGCUGACAGACUUGGCAGGUGGUCAUUAGUCUGUGCGUGAGAACGUGCCAUAGCUGGCUGUGGUAGUAGUCCAGAGGGCUGGGGUGAAGACUGGCACAGCUUGAGGUGUUGACGGCCAGUGGCCCUUUGAAAAGUUCACCUCACUGCUUUUAUGCCCAAAUAAACUUUUAGAAGCGGCAUGCUUGGCUUGUCAAAUAACAGUCAAUAGAUAUGGCUCCUGACAGAUAUUGGCAAAAUUACAUUUUAACUUUAGUCUUUGUCCAUUGAUCAAAUGAGCCUUUGAUCAAGUCAGCUAAAUUGAAUUUUUGGAUACACUGUGGUACUGACUG